rnacentral:rRNA from 1 species
GCAGGCGCGCAAAUUACCCAAUCCCGACACGGGGAGGUAGUGACAAUAAAUACUGAUACAGGGCUCUUUUGGGUCUUGUAAUUGGAAUGAGUACAAUUUAAAUCCCUUAACGAGGAACAAUUGGAGGGCAAGUCUGGUGCCAGCAGCCGCGGUAAUUCCAGCUCCAAUAGCGUAUAUUAAAGUUGUUGUGGUUAAAAAGCUCGUAGUUGAACCUUGGGCCUGGCUGGCCGGUCCGCCUCACCGCGUGUACUGGUCCGGCCGGGCCUUUCCCUCUGUGGAACCCCAUGCCCUUCACUGGGUGUGGCGGGGAAACAGGACUUUUACUUUGAAAAAAUUAGAGUGCUCCAGGCAGGCCUAUGCUCGAAUACAUUAGCAUGGAAUAAUAGAAUAGGACGUGUGGUUCUAUUUUGUUGGUUUCUAGGACCGCCGUAAUGAUUAAUAGGGACAGUCGGGGGCAUCAGUAUUCAAUUGUCAGAGGUGAAAUUCUUGGAUUUAUUGAAGACUAACUACUGCGAAAGCAUUUGCCAAGGAUGUUUUCAUUAAUCAGGAACGAAAGUUAGGGGAUCGAAGACGAUCAGAUACCGUCGUAGUCUUAACCAUAAACUAUGCCGACUAGGGAUCGGACGAUGUUAUUUUUUGACUCGUUCGGCACCUUACGAGAAAUCAAAGUGCUUG